UACGUAGGGGGCGAGCGUUAUCCGGAAUUACUGGGCGUAAAGCGCACGCAGGCGGUUCGCCAAGUUUGGAGUGACAGUUGUCGGCUCAACCGACAAAGGACUUCAAAAACUGGUGAACUUGAGGACGAGAGAGGAACAUGGAACUCCAGGUGUAGUAGUGAAAUGCGUAGAUAUCUGGAAGAACACCGGUGGCGCAAGCGGAUUGCUGGGCCAUAACUGACACUGAGGAACGAAAGCUAGGGGAGCAAAUGGG
rnacentral:rRNA from 1 species